rnacentral:rRNA from 1 species
AUUGAACGCUGGCGGCAGGCCUAACACAUGCAAGUCGAACGAGUGGCGGACGGGUGAGUCAUGUCUGGGAAACUGCCUGAUGGAGGGGGAUAACUCCUGGAAACGGUAGCUAAUACCGCAUACCAUCAGAUGUUCCCAGAUGGCAUUAGCUAGUUGGUGGGGUAACGGCUCACCAAGGCAACGAUCCCUAGCUUGUCUGAGAGGAUGACCGGCCACACUGGAACUGAGACACGGUCCAGACUCCUACGGGAGGCAGCAGUGGGGAAUAUUGCACAAUGGGCGCAAGCCUGAUGCAGCAAUGCCGCGUGUAUGAAGAAGGCCUUCGGGUUGUAAAGUACUUUCAGCGGGGAGGCGUUACCCGCAGAAGAAGCACCGGCUAACUCCGUGCCAGCAGCCGCGCUAAUAC